rnacentral:rRNA from 1 species
AUUGAACGCUGGCGGCAUGCUUUACACAUGCAAGUCGAACGGUAACAGGCCGCAAGGUGCUGACGAGUGGCGAACGGGUGAGUAAUGCAUCGGAACGUGCCCAGUCGUGGGGGAUAACUACUCGAAAGAGUAGCUAAUACCGCAUACGAUCUAUGGAUGAAAGCGGGGGACCGUAAGGCCUCGCGCGAUUGGAGCGGCCGAUGUCAGAUUAGGUAGUUGGUGGGGUAAAGGCUCACCAAGCCAGCGAUCUGUAGCUGGUCUGAGAGGACGACCAGCCACACUGGGACUGAGACACGGCCCAGACUCCUACGGGAGGCAGCAGUGGGGAAUUUUGGACAAUGGGCGCAAGCCUGAUCCAGCAAUGCCGCGUGCAGGAAGAAGGCCUUCGGGUUGUAAACUGCUUUUGUACGGAACGAAACGGCUCUGGUUAAUACCCGGGGCUAAUGACGGUACCGUAAGAAUAAGCACCGGCUAACUACGUG